CCCCUAGACGUUCUGGGCUGCACGCGCGCUACAAUAAUACGCACAGCGAGUAUCACCGAGCUCGAAAGGGCAAGGUAAACAAUAGAAAAGGUACUGUAAUGGUUAUAGAUCCUUGUAAUUAUUGAUCUUCAACGAGGAAUUCCUAGUAAGUAUGUGUCAUCAUCACGCACUGAUUGCGUCCCUGCCCUUUGUACACACCGCCCGUCGCUCCUACCGAUUGAGUGAGCCGAUGAAACUGCCGGAUGUGGACUAUUCAUAGUCUGCAGAAGAUAUUUGAAUCGUAGCGCUUAGAGGAAGGAGAAGUCGUAACA
rnacentral:rRNA from 1 species